rnacentral:rRNA from 1 species
GACGAACGCUGGCGGCGUGGAUUAGGCAUGCAAGUCGAACGGUAUCAUCCUUUCGGGGGUGAGAGAGUGGCGAACUGGUGAGUAACACGUAGGUUAUCUACCCUCAAGACGGGGACAACCCAGGGAAACUUGGGCUAAUACCGGAUGUGAGCAACUUUUAGUUGUUUGAAAGGUGGCGUAAGCUGUCGCUUGGGGAUGAGCCUGCGUCCUAUUAGUUAGUUGGUGAGGUAACGGCUCACCUAGGCAAUGAUAGGUAGGCGGCCUUAACGGGUGGUCGCCCACACUGGGAUUGAGAUACGGCCCAGACUCCUACGGGAGGCAGCAGUCGAGAAUAGUCUACAAUGGCCGAAAGGCUGAUAGUGCGACGCCGCGUGAACGAAGAAGCCCUUCGGGGUGUAAAGUUCUUUUAUAUGUGAGCAGUGCUUUCUAUGUGAACAGCAUGGGGAGAGAGAUAUUAGCAUAUGAAUAAGCAACGGCUAACUCCGUGCCAGCAGCCGCGGUAAA